UUGCUAGGAUGCUGACGAGCGGCGGACGGGUGAGUAAUGCAUAGGAAUCUGCCCGAUAGUGGGGGAUAACCUGGGGAAACCCAGGCUAAUACCGCAUACGUCCUACGGGAGAAAGGGGGCUCCGGCUCCCGCUAUGGGAUGAGCCUAUGUCGGAUUAGCUAGUUGGUGAGGUAAUGGCUCACCAAGGCCACGAUCCGUAGCUGGUCUGAGAGGAUGAUCAGCCACAUCGGGACUGAGACACGGCCCGAACUCCUACGGGAGGCAGCAGUGGGGAAUAUUGGACAAUGGGCGAAAGCCUGAUCCAGCCAUGCCGCGUGUGUGAAGAAGGCCCUCGGGUUGUAAAGCACUUUCAGCGAGGAAGAACGCCUAGCGGUUAAUACCCGCUAGGAAAGACAUCACUCGCAGAAGAAGCACCGGCUAACUCCGUGCCAGCAGCCGCGGUAAUACGGAGGGUGCAAGCGUUAAUCGGAAUUACUGGGCGUAAAGCGCGCGUAGGUGGCUUGAUAAGCCGGUUGUGAAAGCCCCGGGCUCAACCUGGGAACGGCAUCCGGAACUGUCAAGCUAGAGUGCAGGAGAGGAAGGUAGAAAUUCCCGGUGUAGC
rnacentral:rRNA from 1 species